rnacentral:rRNA from 1 species
AGCGAACGCUGGCGGCAGGCCUAACACAUGCAAGUCGAACGAACUCUUCGGAGUUAGUGGCGGACGGGUGAGUAACACGUGGGAACGUGCCUUUUGGUUCGGAAUAACUCAGGGAAACUUGUGCUAAUACCGGAUGGGCCCUCCGGGGGAAAGAUUUAUCGCCAUUAGAGCGGCCCGCGUCUGAUUAGCUAGUUGGUGAGGUAACGGCUCACCAAGGCGACGAUCAGUAGCUGGUCUGAGAGGAUGACCAGCCACACUGGGACUGAGACACGGCCCAGACUCCUACGGGAGGCAGCAGUGGGGAAUCUUGCGCAAUGGGCGAAAGCCUGACGCAGCCAUGCCGCGUGAAUGAUGAAGGUCUUAGGAUUGUAAAAUUCUUUCACCGGGGACGAUAAUGACGGUACCCGGAGAAGAAGCCCCGGCUAACUUCGUG